UCGAGAAUCUUCGGCAAUGGGCGCAAGCCUGACCGAGCGACGCCGCGUGGAGGACGAAGGCCUUCGGGUUGUAAACUCCUGUCGAGGGGGAGGAAGGGGAAACCUUGACCGAUCCCUGGAGGAAGCACGGGCUAAGUUCGUGCCAGCAGCCGCGGUAAGACGAACCGUGCGAACGUUAUUCGGAAUCACUGGGCUUAAAGCGCGUGUAGGCGGGCCGGCACGUCGGUACCUGAAAGCCCCCGGCUCAACCGGGGAACUGGGGCCGAUACGACCGGCCUGGAGGGGCGUAGGGGGACCUGGAACUUCCGGUGGAGCGGUGAAAUGCGUUGAGAUCGGAAGGAACGCCCGUGGCGAAAGCGAGGUCCUGGACGCCUGCUGACGCUGAGACGCGAAAGCCAGGGUAGCGAACG
rnacentral:rRNA from 1 species